ensembl:lncRNA
AAUUGCGCCUGCGCAGUCUAGGAGUAGUGGCGGAAAAGACGAUGGGAGAGGCAUUGCGCCUGCGCAGUUGAGGAGUGGUGGCGGAAGAGAUGGUAAAGCACUUGUUGACACAUAACCUGGACUAAGCAUUGUUGGAGGAUCAGGACUUUAAGGUCAUCCUUGUCUACACAGUAUGUUCCAGGCCAGCCUGAGCUACAUGAGACCCUGUGUCCAAAAGUAAAGAGAACAUGGAAAAGAGCAUCAAGAAAGAAUGUCUGUGUGACAGCUAAAAAGCAUGAGAAAACAGGAAGACAACAGAGAGAAGUGGGACGCAGUAUGAGCUCCAAACCCAGCUGCGGGGCGUGGGUAGAGAGCCAAAGUCGAAACCACGUGGAAAGCCAGACAGCCCCAUGACAACAGACUGGCCAUCCUGUAUAGAAACGAAACCCCUGGUUUCAGAAAACCUUCCAUCCAGUGGGGGAAUGUGAUGUGGCAGUAACUCCCCCUGUGCGGCAAGAUGGCUUUGGGAGAAAAAAUGCACAGUGUACUCCCCCCUGUAUUGUGGACUGCUGUGCCAGGGGGCAUGUUCAUAGCACCACUGCUCCCAAUAACCAAAAGCUAAAAACUGCCCGAAUGCCCAUCAACUUUUGAAUGGCUAAACAAAGCAUACAUAGUAUUACCAUACAAUGAAUUAUUUUUCUUCAGCCGUGAAAAAAAUGAAGCACCGAUCCAGGCUACGACGUGACUGAACUUUGAAGAUGUUACUCUAAGAGAAAGAAGCCAAUCACAAAUGGGUGCGUUUAUGGGAAACUCACAUAACAGGCAAGCCCACCAUAAUAGAAAAAAGGUUAGAGGUUCCUGGAGCAUGAAACUAAGGAGUAACUGUGAGGAGACAUUACAGUGUGGGUACGGGGCCUCCUUCUGAGGUGAUGAAAAUUCUAGAACCAGACACUGUUGAUGAUUGCACAACUUUGUGGAUGUAUUUUCUGGCCAGAGCAGGGGAUCUGAGCACCAGAACCCCACCUCCACCCCACCCUACCGCACCCACCCUUGUGGCACCAAGCCUUAAGUAGCAGCACCUCUGAUGACCACCGUAGUCUCUGAGAAUUUCUGACUUGGUGGCUGAGGGGAUGAGGUGACAGUAUUCCCCCUAAAAUAACCUCUGAGGGUGACCAGUGCUCAGAAUCCUGUCCCCGACAAAACAUCGAAUCUGACAGGUUUCAGGAUGCAGCUUGAAUGCUUCAUACGCCCCAGGAUUCUGAAACUCUUGGCAACUCGUUGCUCUCCCUUUCCAGAUCCUGGCUAAUGAGGAAACUGUGCAAAGGACAGAGAGCGCUGAAACCCCAGUGGAACUGAAAGAGUAGCCUCUGAAGAAGGGAGUCCAGGAAGAUGGGGGGUGAGAAACCCUGCAAAGGCCCUGCCAGGACCCCCUCUCUAUGUAUGACUGGGCUGUUUUUCCUCUAAUUCCCUGAGGUUUUACCCCUUAAAUGUGGUCACUUUGACCAUCAUUGACAGCCACUCACAACACAAGAACAUCUGUGAUCAGGUUUUCAUGGCAUUAAGAGCAGGAACUGCUCAGUCCCCUGUUACUUCAGAGCCAUCACAUCAAAUAUGGCACACAGGAACUGCUUUGCAAAUGGUUGCUAAACUCGGCUUUCGACUGAAGCAGAGCAUAAAUGGAAACAUGCCAGGUCUACAAAUACAGCCUCAGCAUGGCUACACGCUGCCUAAUUUCAUAGCCAGCACAAUGCAGAAAAGAGAAUUUCCAGUGUCCUGGAACCUGGAACCUGGCUUUGGACCGUCUCUCACUUAUGGGUCCCCUCAAAAGAUCUAACUUCUCAUUUCCGUUCUUCCCCAUUGUUGGAAC